GGCAAAGAAAGACAGCAAUAAAACUAGAAGGAGCGUUCGCCCUUUGAAAGGUGCAUCUCAUUUUGGUUGCAAAGCAAACAUAAUCAAGCCACUUUCACCCGGGCUUUACGACCCACGAUAAAUGAUACAAAAUUAUAUUUAUCACAAGAUAUGAAGGAUUCGCAAGAUGAGGUUUCCUCACCCUCUCGAGCCUUCGUUCCCCGGCGUUGCCUAACGACGUGUAACGGGUAUAAACUUUGAAGCAAAGUAAUCAAAGGCGACCUACUUUCGCUCAAAGGACCAAAGGAAAAGGCUAUUCAUACUAAUAAUCGUAAUUAUUCGAUUAAAUAUUUUUCUUUUUCCUUUCAUUUUUAAUAAAGUCUCUCUACC
rnacentral:misc_RNA from 1 species